rnacentral:lncRNA from 1 species
UUUUCUUUUUUUUUUUUUUUGUUUUCUAGACUUUUGUCUGCCUUAAAAAUUAUCCAGUAGUAGUUAUGAUUCAUUUCAUUGUUGGUAUAUAUCGAAAUUGAACAGAUAAGCACUUUUGAGUUCCAUACCUUGGUUCAUUGAAAGGGGAUUGUUCGAACUUGGGGGGACAAAGACUUUUAACAUACCUCAGUCUUCAAUUAUUUUGCAGCUUCUAUGUUAAAUUAGUUUAUCUAGUUUUGCACAUGGACAUGGACAUUGCUUUAAUUACCCUACUGCUAUAAUAGUUUGCACAUAGAGAUGGUUUCUCAACAUAACGACAAUUAAGAUCUUCCAUAGUCUAUUAAUUUUAAAAAUGAGAGUUAUAGGGAAUUUUUCAAUAUUUUUUACACAACAAAUUGGGCAUUGGGCACAGCCGGAAAAUUUCUAGUCUAUAAAUAUAUAGCGACGUGGUUGGGGUUUUGGCAGGAUUUCCUAAUUCUUAGUCCUGAAUCAUAAUCUACUGUCUGUCUACUGUCUCUCACACACGCAAGACCUACGAAGAAGAAGAAGAGGAAGAAGGGGCAAGACCUACGAAGAAGAAGAAGAAGAAGAAGAAGAAGAAGAAGAAGAAGAAGAAGAAGAAGAAAGUAAAAGGGAGUUGGGAAGAUGAGAGGAGUUCAAUUGUCA